UACGAAGGGGGUUAGCGUUGUUCGGAAUUACUGGGUGUAAAGCGCGCGCAGGCGGUCUACCAAGUCAGUGGUGAAAGCCCGGAGCUCAACUCCGGAAAUGCCAUUGAAACUGUUAGACUUGAGUACGAGAGAGGUGAGUGGAAUUCCUAGUGUAGAGGUGAAAUUCGUAGAUAUUGGGAAGAACACCGGUGGCGAAGGCGGCUCACUGGCUCGUUUCUGACGCUCAGGCGCGAUAGCGUGGGGAUCAAACAGG
rnacentral:rRNA from 1 species